AAUUUUAAAUUGGUUUUUUUUUUUCGUAAUACCUAUCUGUCUAUAAAGCGCAGUUGGCCAGUUAGCUGUUAGCGGAACAUCAAAAAACAAUGACAGGAUUUUGCGAGUCGUUUGUUUUUUGUCAAAAAGUUGGAAGAGUAAUUUUUUCCCCAUCACCUUUUAAUUAAUCAUUACUUCGCGAGAAUGCUUGCAAUAGUUAAGGCAGUAAAGAAAUGCAGCAGCAGCAGUUAGAUAAGCACCUUUUCCAUUAGCGUUUAGUGGGGGCAUUUGCCUAUAUAUACGUAGGUACUUAUGCACCUACAUCGCGUUUUCCUUGUUCUUGUAUAAAGGGCACUACAUUGCUCGGGGGAAAAUUUCCAAAAAGCAAGGAUAUAAUUUACGUGUGGCUGUAAUUGGUUUCCACGAAUUGCUUAUCAUUGAGAAUCUAUUUUGUAGACAUACAACUACGUAUGGAACUAAAUAAGAGUAGUAGGUAAACCGGCAAGUUGCGCUAUAGGUAUAAUUGGUAAAUUAGAAAAGUAUACCAAAGAAAAAUUGUAUAGCGCGCUUGCACUUUGGAAUCUAAAUCGAAUACAUUCCCCCCCGGACCCUGCAGGUGUUGAAACAAAGACGUCUGUUGCAAGCAUCAUGUAGCAGCUCAUCCCUCUUCUCUCCGCUAAAGACACUGGUUGAAAUUUUCCAUUAGUUCAUUCGCGUCUCUCUUCUUACAUACGUCAUGGCGAAAAAGUACCCAAACCUUACAACCAAAAACCGGAAAUGCAAAGGAAGAGUUUACAAAAAAAACGGCAACCAAAUUAACAACAACAGUCCUUAACUAAAAUAAUGCGAGGACUGCAGAAAAACGCAGUGGCAGUGCACCCCCGGCGACCUCCCCGCUUCCCCCCGGUAUUAUACGAAGGACGACGAUAAUUUGAAUCUAAUAAUUAAAAAAUUUGGUCAACUAUUGCGGAAGUAGGUACAAACUGUUUUAUAUUUCUCUCCCACCCCUACUAUUUUUGCGCACGCAUGUUAAAAAUAAUAACUUGUUUACAGUAAAUAUGGGGGAACAUUUCGAGUAGGGUCAUAGCACAGCUGAUAGAAUGGAGUUGCUGCUGCAUAUUUUCUUUUUGCAUAGCUUUAUCACUUUGGGAUACCAGCACCAUCGCAUGCCUUAAAUUAACUUCAAUUAAUAUCUACUCAGGUGGUGUGGAACCAAUCCUACGAAUGUACCUCACACAACCACAUCAACAACCCUCGAGCGGCAAAGGUCAAGAAGACCUAAUGAAAAGCGUCAGCCUACUUUUCGGCUCUGGAAGCGACCGACCUGUAAGGAACUGGCGCACAAGACCUACGGGCGGGCCUAAAAAAUAUGGAUACCGCUGCAAACUGGUGGAUGCGCAAACCGUCGACAAAACAACUGGACUCUUCCAAAAGAGAGGCGCUUGGAAAAAAGGAUUUUCAAUUUGUUGAAGAAUUUCUUAAGUUCACUUUUAAAAUAUAUUUAUAUUGAAAGAUGUAAAUUAAUAGCUUUGUUAUGCAACCCAGAAUGCAGAAGCGAGCUAGUAUGGUUGCAACACUGCAUCCGACAUUUCGCGAAGAUGCAGUUAAUGCAACUAAACACAGUAUCAUACUUUUCCGAAUGCAGAAUGGGACUGUCACUAGUGUGGUUGCAUAAUCACAGUUGCAUCCGAGCAUAUAUUGUGCGUAUGUUCUAUCCAUGAUUU